GAUAAGCUGGUACAGCUGAUUGCGUUGGUGCAAUGCGUUUUGAUGUGGAGUCAUUUUUGGUAAAUCUGACUCACGACAAAGUUCACGCCUGUAGGAAGGAUGACCUGGUUAAAGUAGCAAGUCACCUCCAGAUUCCGAUAAGUAAAACAACGUUAAAAAGGGAUCUGAAACCAUUAGUUGUAGCUACAUUGUUGGAGAGAGGGCUGCUUGAAUUACCUGUGGCAGUAGAGUUAGAAACGCUUCCUGUGGCUGGCUCCACGGAGACCGAGAGGGUGCAGACCCUUAAGCCACAACCAGUCUCUAGGUGGGACGACGAGGUCGGUGGAGGGUUAAAGACACCAGUCAUGCUGCCACGUUAUGACCCUUCCCCUGAGAGCAGUGCUCGUUCCAGAGAUGGGGCCCGUAUAAAGGUUCGCCUGGCCCACCUCCAGCUUGAGGCCCAAGAAAGGGAACGUCAGCAGCACAUGCAACUUCAGCUUGAAAUCAGAAAGCUGGAGGUAGAGGCUGAUAAGGCUGUAAGGCUACGGAAGCUCGAGCUUGAAAGCUCCCAGGCGAGGCAAAGACCGCCUGCUGCUGCACCAGGUAUAUCAUCCGCCUCCUCCACCCUAAAUUCUGCUAGUCCAAUUUCUCUGGCCUUUGAUGUUAGCAAGCAUAUUGCUCUAGUGCCAUUGUUCCGGGAAUCUGAGGUUGACUCUUACUUUAGUGUAUUUGAGCGCAUUGCAGUUGCCUUACAGUGGCCAACAGAGGUGUGGCCACUACUGCUCCAGUGUAAGCUCCAUGGCAAGGCCCAGGAAGCCAUUGCAGCGCUCUCUUUGGAAGAGAGUUUAGACUAUGAGUCGGUUAAGUCUGCCAUUCUUCGUAUUUACGAACGAGUUCCUGAGGCCUACCGGCAGAAAUUUAGGAGUCAUAGGAAGUCACAGAACCAGACUUGCACUGAGUUUGCAAGAGAGAAGGGGGUGUUAUUUGAUAAAUGGACUUCAGCCUGUUCUGCUGAUAACUACAGUGCUCUGAGAGAGUUGUUACUGGUGGAGGAUUUUAAAAAGAACGUAUUGUGUACCUAAAUGAGCAGAGGGUAACAACUCUAGCUGCUGCCGCAACAACGGCCGAUGAAUAUGUACUAAUCCACAAAACUGUUUACGCUCACUCCCCUGACAGACCACGUAGAGCACCAGUUUCACCUCCCUCUGUCCACAAAACACAGGGUGGGGAGAAGGAGGAAAGGAAAUGUUAUUACUGUCAUCUGACCGGUCAUGUUAUCGCUACCUGCCCGGCCUUGAAACGCAAAGAACAGUCUUCACGCCCUUUCCAGACUAAAGGCGUCGGUUUAAUUAAAACUCAGCGCAGUACAAGAAUUGAGGGUAACAGAUGCGAUGAGUUAGAUGCCUGCUUUAAACCUUUUGUUUUUGAUCCACGUAUUUCACUCACUGGCCUGCCUGUGGAUCAGCGCUCCGUCCGGGUACUGAGGGAUACUGUGUGUUCCCAGUCAGUAAUUUUGACAUCGGCAUUGCCCUUUUCGGAACGUUCAGCUUGUGGGUUCGGUUCAGUGCUCCGCGGCAUUGAGAUGGGUUACGUUCCACGUCCGGUGCACCGCAUCCACAUUCAAUCUGACUUAGUUACAGGGUUCUUUCCUGUUGCUGUUUGUGACGCUCUACCCAUUCAGAGUAUUGUACUUCUACUGGGGAAUGAUAUUGCGGGAGGGAAGGUGACGCCCACGUUGGAGGUGCUGGAUUCUCCUCUGUGCGGCAAGUUCCCCACAGACAAUCUGUCUUCUUCAGUGUUUCCUGCUUGUGUGCUCACUCGUGCACGCACACGGUUGCUCCAGGAUGAGUGCGACAGUUCAGAUGUUUCCUUAAACGACAGUGUACUCAUGCCAAUGUUUUCAGGUGAAACUGAGGUGGUGGGAACCAAGGAGCAGGCCGACGUGCAACCCCUGCCUGAGGCGGUGGAAUCACAGGACCCUCCCGGCUCAGAUUCGCUUCCAGUUACACGAGGGCGCCUGGCAAACGCACAGAGGAGAUCCUACACUGCAGCGUUGUUUCAGAAGUGUGCCUUUCACAGGGUAAACGUUCCAUACUGAGGAUUCUGACUGCAUGUGGUGUCAGUGCUUGGCUGGAUGCAGAGAACGAUGGAGGAAGACUGGUAAUCGGGUUGCAGAACUGAAAGUGGGCCAGUGGCGAUCAAAUGUAAUGGAACAAGCCGGAGGAUCAAUACAAGCCAGUGAUGGCAGACAGACAAAGGUUGUUUAGUAGCAGGCAGCACUAAUUGAAAUCAAUCUCUAAUCUGAUGACAGUUCUUAACCUUUACACCUCUGAGAAUUCUUAAACAAGUGAGAAUCAUGGCGGAGCAGCAGGCAGAGUUUACAAUUACUUUCCCCCACAACACCUUUUGUUUUUCUGCUGAUUCAUACUUUCUACGAUGCCUAACUAAGCCAUUCAAUGAGAUUACAUUGCCCAGGAUCAAUACGGUAGGAGCACUAACACCCUGGUUUAAUGGUGAUUUUGCUCUAUGUGGUGUAUCAUCAAUAAAACCAGGUAAAUGAAAUAUGCAUGUGGACAUUGUAAGAAGUCCAUACUGCAUGUGGAACAUCAUUCAGCUGGUAAUUGAGUAAUUCACUAUGGAAACAGAAGUGUCAAAUAAAGCUGUGUAAUU